rnacentral:rRNA from 1 species
AUAUCAAUAAGCGGAGGAAAAGAAACCAACAGGGAUUGCCCCAGUAACGGCGAGUGAAGCGGCAACAGCUCAAAUUUGAAAUCUGGCGCAAGCCCGAGUUGUAAUUUGUAGAGGAUGUUUCUGGCGAAGCGCCUUCCGAGUUCCCUGGAACGGGACGCCAUAGAGGGUGAGAGCCCCGUACGGUUGGAUGCCUAGCCUCUGUGAAACUCCUUCGACGAGUCGAGUAGUUUGGGAAUGCUGCUCUAAAUGGGAGGUAUACGUCUUCUAAAGCUAAAUACCGGCCAGAGACCGAUAGCGCACAAGUAGAGUGAUCGAAAGAUGAAAAGCACUUUGAAAAGAGGGUUAAAUAGUACGUGAAAUUGUUGAAAGGGAAGCGCUUAUGACCAGACUUGGGCAGGUUGAUCAUCCGUGGUUCUCCGCGGUGCACUCUGCCUGCCCAGGCCAGCAUCAGUUCGCUUCGGGGGAUAAAGGCUUAGGGAAUGUGGCUCCCUCGGGAGUGUUAUAGCCCUCUGUGUAAUACCCUGAUCCGGACUGAGGUUCGCGCUCUGCAAGGAUGCUGGCGUAAUGGUCAUCAGCGACCCGUCUUGAAACACGGACCAAGGAGUCGUCUUCGUAUGCGAGUGUUCGGGUGUCAAACCCCUACGCGUAAUGAAAGUGAACGUAGGAGAGAGCUUCGGCGCAUCUCCGACCGAUCCUGAUGUUCUCGGAUGGAUUUGAGUAAGAGCAUACGGGGCCGGACCCGAAAGAAGGUGAACUAUGCCUGUAUAGGGUGAAGCCAGAGGAAACUCUGGUGGAGGCUCGCAGCGGUUCUGACGUGCAAAUCGAUCGUCAAAUAUGGGCAUGGGGGCGAAAGACUAAUCGAACCUUCUAGUAGCUGGUUUCCGC